rnacentral:lncRNA from 1 species
GGCGGCGGCGGCGGCUUCCAAACUUUAGAGCUUUCACAAAUCUCUCCCUGCCUUUUCAGGCACUCAAAGGCUUCCUCAGGCACUUACUUGCUCCGAGAAAGAUUAUAGCAAAGCUUUCUGCUUUGUGCUUCUCCACCCAGGGGGUCUCCAGAUUGCUGGGCCAUUAGGCGCUUGAAUGACCUCCACCCCCCCUUCCUUUUUUUUGGUGGUGGUGGUGAGAUAUUUCUAAACUCCCUUUUUCACACUGGCUUUUGAUGGCUCCUUAAUGGCCCACACCAGAGCCAGGGCAAAGGACAUCGCUUCAUCCCGAUGGAGGAGGAGGGGCCAGCCUCCUCUCUUUCCUUUGGCCUGGAAGGCAGUUGAAACCGAACCAAUCCACUUCGUUUUGAUCUUCCUCUUCCUCCUUCCGUGGAACAUCAUCUGGGAUUCAGGCAAGGAACAUCUGUGCGUCCUAGCAAGGUGCAAAAAUAUACCCCACCCCCAAGACACCCUCCAAGUGGUCCCUAUUUUCCAGGGACAGUCCCGGAUUUAAAAGAAGCCACCCCUGCAAGGAUCCUGUACAUGUUUACUCACGAGUAAGUCCCACUGCCUUUAAUGAGGCUUGCUUCCAGGGAGACAUGCCAUUGACUGCAGCCUAAAUGUCCAUUUCGACAGCAGAGGUCGGCAUGAAUUUGAAUCUGUGAGCAGAAAAUUUGAUUCCUGCGGGGUUUUGAUCCCCAUAGAGGGUGUCUGUGGGGGUUGGUUUUUUUUUAGGCGGGGGGUGGUGGAUUCUGCCCUUGGGGUCGUCUUCUUCUUUUAACAACCUUGGGGGUGCGUUGACCUGCAAAAAAGUCCAAUGGCUUCUUCAAGGGCACAGCAUGCAGGAGAAGUUUCAACCACGCAUAUCCUCGCCCCCCUCCCGCACCCCCGAGCCAUUAAUUUCAGCUGAUAAAUCUGCAGAGCUGUCUCAAAUAAUGUCAGGAGGAGCAGCGUCGGGAGCAAA